AUUGAACGCUGGCGGUAUGCUUAACACAUGCAAGUCGAACGGUAGCAGCUCUUCGGAGGCUGACGAGUGGCGGACGGGUGAGUAACGCGUAGGAAUCUGCCUGUUAGUGGGGGACAACUUAGGGAAACUUAAGCUAAUACCGCAUACGCCCUACGGGGGAAAGGAGGGGAUCUUCGGACCUUUCGCUAACAGAUGAGCCUGCGUAGGAUUAGCUUGUUGGUAAGGUAAGAGCUUACCAAGGCGACGAUCAGUAUCUGGUUUGAGAGGACGAUCAGACACACUGGAACUGAGACACGGUCCAGACUCCUACGGGAGGCAGCAGUGGGGAAUUUUCCGCAAUGGGCGAAAGCCUGACGGAGCAAUACCGCGUGAGGGAAGAAUGCCUAUGGGUUGUAAACCUCUUUUUUCAGGGAGGAAUCAAAUGACGUGUACCUGAAGAAUAAGCAUCGGCUAACUCCGUG
rnacentral:rRNA from 1 species